CAUAAUUAAUCGUUAUAACUAGGUUACCCACAGGGCAGUAAUGCUGCAUGCCUUUGACAGCAAAAGUCAAACGAGUCCUUCAGAAACAUCCUAUUAUUGUUAAACUUGUUAACCCAUUUAUUGACAGUACCCUACCACUGACUGAGUAUGACAAAUCGUCUGGCUUUCUUCUAAAGUCAAAACUGAAAAAUCGAACACCGUCAAUCGAUGCGGAAGAUUGCUUAGAAUAAUUGUGUCAAAUUUCAUUCCGAUUGGACAACUAAUGACGGAGCCUUAGGGUUUUU